GGAAGAUAAUGACGGUACUUGAGGAGGAAGCCCCGGCUAACUACGUGCCAGCAGCCGCGGUAAUACGUAGGGGGCUAGCGUUAUCCGGAUUUACUGGGCGUAAAGGGUGCGUAGGCGGUCUUUCAAGUCAGGCGUGAAAGGCUACGGCUCAACCGUAGUAAGCUCUUGAAACUGGGAGACUUGAGUGCAGGAGAGGAGAGUGGAAUUCCUAGUGUAGCGGUGAAAUGCGUAGAUAUUAGGAGGAACACCAGUUGCGAAGGCGGCUCUCUGGACUGUAACUGACGCUG
rnacentral:rRNA from 1 species